UCGCGGCUUAUCACCGGCAGUCUCCUUAGAGUGCUCAACUAAAUGGUAGCAACUAAGGACGGGGGUUGCGCUCGUUGCGGGACUUAACCCAACAUCUCACGACACGAGCUGACGACAGCCAUGCACCACCUGUGACGGUGCCCCGAAGGGAAGCCGUGUUUCCACGGCGGUCACCGACAUGUCAAGCCCAGGUAAGGUUCUUCGCGUUGCGUCGAAUUAAACCACAUGCUCCGCUGCUUGUGCGGGUCCCCGUCAAUUCCUUUGAGUUUUAGCCUUGCGGCCGUACUCCCCAGGCGGGGCACUUAAUGCGUUAGCUACGGCACGGAACGCGUUGGUGGCGCCCCACACCUAGUGCCCAACGUUUACAGCGUGGACUAC
rnacentral:misc_RNA from 1 species